rnacentral:rRNA from 1 species
UACGAAGGGGGCUAGCGUUGCUCGGAAUCACUGGGCGUAAAGCGCACGUAGGCGGAUUGCUAAGUCAGGGGUGAAAUCCUGGAGUUCAACUCCAGAACUGCCUUUGAUACUGGCGAUCUUGAGUCCGGGAGAGGUGAGUGGAACUGCGAGUGUAGAGGUGAAAUUCGUAGAUAUUCGCAAGAACACCAGUGGCGAAGGCGGCUCACUGGCCCGGUACUGACGCUGAGGUGCGAAAGCGUGGGGAGCAAACAGG